CAUACGGCCCUCUUUAGGGCCACAUUUCUCUGAUAUUGAAGCUUUG
rfam:Bursaphelenchus xylophilus, Ka4C1 (inbred line), WGS project CADV01000000 data, contig: contig19728